UUAUAAGUUGUAACAAUAAAGUCAUCUUUUCACGCCGGACUCGGUGUGAUAUGAGUUUAAAUGUCUUGUCUAUAGAUGUAUAUUAGAGUGUAUCAAAAAAAUCGAAUAUUUUUUUUUUUUCAACGAACAUUGAGAAAUCGUCAGAGUAUCUCUAGAAAAAGAUCCUCUGAAAAUAUGAGCUCUUAAUAUUAAUAUUUAGAGACUAUUUUAAGAUUG